GAACAGUGGUGAAUUCCCUUGGAAUAUAAAAUAAUCUGCAGCUACAAUCACAGACUUACACCAGUGAUAGUGUACAGAACUAACACAGAAGCCACCUCUGUAAUCUUUACCGUGAAGAGCUGCAUUUCUAACCAUUCUAAUGACACACAUUCACAAUGUUAACAGAUACUUGUAUUGUCUCUCAGGUAUGUUUGUGCGCACUGUCCUGGGAAUGUGUGUGUGUGUCGCACUCGGUGUGACUCAGAAUGCUGCCUCUGCCUCUGAUGCUGAGCAACACACUCCUGAGCAGCAGGACCCCAUCACACGCAAGCAAUCCUUUGUCCAUGUGAACAAUAGGCUGGCUGUCUUUAUAGCUGCUGCACUGGGAACCAUGACACUAAUGGGGGUGAUCUAUUGCAUCUACAACCAGUUCUACACCAAACACCCGUACACACACACACAGCUACAGGAGACAGAUUCAUCCCUGGAUAUUAGUGAACUGUCCCCUUCUGUUUUCCAUAGUUGUGGUAAAAUGGAUGGAUGGAUGGUGCGAGGGAUGGGGAAAGGAGGAGGAGUGAGUUACGGUUCUCUUUCUGACACCCCCUCAAUCAUCACUCUCCCUCCAGCUCUUUCUCCUCCUCCUCUUGCAUCACCCUUUCCCCCACCUCGCCCACCUCACCCUGCCCCUCUCAGAACAAUCUCUGCCCAGGAGCUGCAGAAGAACUUCCUCUGACACACUCUUCACUCCAUAAAGCUUGACCGGUGAAACUGAAGUGUGGUAAAGAUUAUGUUCAAGAGCUCGACCUUUCAGAUAAGAGUGUAUUAAAGGUUAUUGUCACUCGAUGUAAAAUGGUGUCUGUCAAUCACAGAGUUCAGCCAGUCAUAAGCGUGUAGUAAAGCCUGACUAUUAAUAGAGCUUGAUUGAUCAUAUUUAAGUACAGUACAUGUUGUCUGUCAAUCAUGGAGCUCUUCCAAUCAGAUUAAACU